CUGAUCUUCCCGUGAAGAAGCGGGAAUAAAACUAUUAGACGAGAAGACCCCAUGGAGCUUUAAGCUCAACAACAAUUCCCAUGAAAACAAUCCCCUAUAAUAUACGAACCCUGUUUGUUAGCUUUAGGUUGGGGUGACCGCGGAGUAUAAUUUAACCUCCACAACGAAAGGGUAUAAGACCCUAAUCCAAGAGCCACUGCUCUAAGAAUCAUUAAAUUGACAUAUAAUGAUCCGAUUUUCGAUCAACGAACCAAGUUACCCUGGGGAUAACAGCGCAAUCCAUUUCUAGAGCCCCUAUCGACAAAUGGGUUUACGACCUCGAUGUUGGAUCAGGGUAUCCUAGUGGUGCAGCCGCUACUAAAGGUUCGUUUGUUCAACGAUUAAAACCCUACGUGAUCUG
rnacentral:rRNA from 1 species